UACGUAGGGUGCAAGCGUUAAUCGGAAUUACUGGGCGUAAAGCGUGCGCAGGCGGUCCGUUAAGACAGAUGUGAAAUCCCCCGGGCUUAACCUGGGAACUGCAUUUGUGACUGGCGGACUCGAGUAUGGCAGAGGGGGGGUAGAAUUCCACGUGUAGCAGUGAAAUGCGUAGAGAUGUGGAGGAAUACCGAUGGCGAAGGCAGCCCCCUGGGCCAAUACUGACGCUCAUGCACGA
rnacentral:rRNA from 1 species